CAAAGACCAGUUCAGAGUCAGAUUGAGUUGCCUGUCACGCUCAACUGUGCUUCUGUGGAAGUAUUCCACUACAGCUUUUAUUUUUUGGACUGUGCCCUGAACCUC